rnacentral:rRNA from 1 species
AGUGAACGCUGGCGGUAGGCCUAACACAUGCAAGUCGAACGGCAGCACAGUAAGAGCUUGCUCUUACGAGUGGCGAGUGGCGGACGGGUGAGGAAUACAUCGGAAUCUACUUUUUCGUGGGGGAUGACGUAGGGAAACUUACGCUAAUACCGCAUACGACCUACGGGUGAAAGCAGGGGAUCUUCGGACCUUGCGCGAUUGAAUGAGCCGAUGUCGGAUUAGCUAGUUGGCGGGGUAAAGGCCCACCAAGGCGACGAUCCGUAGCUGGUCUGAGAGGAUGAUCAGCCACACUGGAACUGAGACACGGUCCAGACUCCUACGGGAGGCAGCAGUGGGGAAUAUUGGACAAUGGGCGCAAGCCUGAUCCAGCCAUACCGCGUGGGUGAAGAAGGCCUUCGGGUUGUAAAGCCCUUUUGUUGGGAAAGAAAAGCAGCAGGUUAAUACCCCGCUGUUCUGACGGUACCCAAAGAAUAAGCACCGGCUAACUUCGUG